AGGAGGAACAACAACAGUGGUGGCCGCCAGCUCCUGAGCCCUGGAGUCAUGUCCCGCAGUAACUACAGAGCUCUCCGUCUGCAGGGCCUGGAUGCCCCGGGGGCGG
rnacentral:pre_miRNA from 1 species